CUUGCAGGGAUCCCUUCAUGUGGAGUAGGAUUUGUGUUUGGAGAGGGCUUUGGUUCUUCUCAGCUGGUUCCUCUCCUUGUAAGGCCCAGGAGAAGCAGCCAUGCUGUGGGCUGUGGCCCUGCUUCUGGCUCUCCUGCCUCCUGGCAGUCAAACAUCUUCCAACGUGGAAGAGGGAAUGACGGUGAUGAACAGGCCGCGCGGGUCCUAUGUGGAAAUCACUUGCACUAUCCAUAUAAAAACCAACUACAUCCACUGGUACCGAUUUCAAGAGGGGACAGUGCCACGACGCUUGCUCUAUUAUGAUUUCUCCAAUUCCAAAGCUGUGUUGGACUCAGGACUUCCGAAAGGGAAAUUCGAUGCUUAUGUAGGUACAGCAAAGAACAGUAAAUUCGUAGUGCGGAAUGUGGAAGCGAGCGACUCUGGGGUGUACUACUGCGCAGCCUGGACUGGCACGGUGUUUCACGCCUGUGUGACUCUACACUGAAAAGCUGGCUGCGGCUGCUCCUGUGCCCAGGACAGCACAGUCCCCGGCUCACUUCCUGCCCCCACUUCACCGUGGUGUGAUCGGCUGACACUCAUAAAUAUCUGUCAAGGACCCUGCUCUUUCUGAUCAGGUUCUCCCAGGUCACUAACAAUGGUCAU